GAUGAACGCUGGCGGCGUGCCUAAUACAUGCAAGUCGAGCGAACAGACGAGGAGCUUGCUCCUCUGACGUUAGCGGCGGACGUGUGAGUAACACGUGGAUAACCUACUUAUAAGACUGGUAUAACUUCGGGACACCGGAGCUAAUACCGGAUAAUAUAUUGAACCUCAUGGUUCAAUAGUGAAAGACGGUUUUGCUGUCACUUAUAGAUGGCUCCGCGCCGCAUUAGCUAGUUGCUAAGGUAACGGCUUACGAAGGCAACGAUCCGUAGCCGACCUGCGAGGGUGAUCGGCCACACUGGAACUGAGACACGGUCCAGACUCCUACGGGAGGCGGCGGUGGGGAAUCUUCCGCAAUGGGCGAAAGCCUGACGGAGCAACGCCGCGUGAGGGAUGAAGGUCUUCGGAUCGUAAAACUCUGUUAUUAGGGAAGAACAAAUGUGUAAGUAACUAUGCACGUCUUGACGGUACCUAAUCAGAAAGCCACGGCUAACUACGUG
rnacentral:rRNA from 1 species